GAUGAAGAACGCAGCGAAAUGCGAUACGUAAUGUGAAUUGCAGAAUUCAGUGAAUCAUCGAAUCUUUGAACGCACAUUGCGCCCGCUGGUACUCCGGCGGGCACGCCUGUCCGAGCGUCAUUUCAACCCUCAAGCCCUCCUUCGGGAUGGGCCUGGUGUUGGGGCUCGGCCGCCAUCUCCGGCGGCCGUCCCCUAAAUACAGUGGCGGUCACGUCGCGACUCCUUUGCGUAGUAGAAACACCUCGCUCCGGAUAGCAACGCGGUCCACGCCGUAAAACCCCCAAUUUUCAAUGGUUGACCUCGGAUCAGGUGGGAAUACCCGCUGAACUUAAGCAUAUCAAUAAGCGGAGGA
rnacentral:misc_RNA from 1 species